rnacentral:rRNA from 1 species
GUCGACGACCAUCCUGUUGAUUGAAGCUUGCUUCUUGAUUCAGAUUUUGGUGAGUGGCGGACGGGUGAGUAACACGUGGGUAACCUGCCCAAAAGUGGGGGAUAACAUUUGGAAACAAGUGCUAAUACCGCAUAACAACUGCUUUCACAUGAUCGCAGCUUGAAAGAUGGCUCUGCUAUCGCUUUUGGAUGGACCCGCGGCGUAUUAGCUAGUUGGUGAGGUAAUAGCUCACCAAGGCAAUGAUACGUAGCCGACCUGAGAGGGUAAUCGGCCACAUUGGGACUGAGACACGGCCCAAACUCCUACGGGAGGCAGCAGUAGGGAAUCUUCCACAAUGGGCGAAAGCCUGAUGGAGCAAUGCCGCGUGAGUGAAGAAGGUUUUCGGAUCGUAAAACUCUGUUGUUGAAGAAGAACAUGCGUGAGAGUAACUGUUCACGUACUGACGGUAUUCAACCAGAAAGCCACGGCUAACUACGUGCCAGCAGCCGCGGUAAUACGUAGGUGGCAAGCGUUGUCCGGAUUUAUUGGGCGUAAAGAGAAUGUAGGCGGUUUAUUAAGUUUGAAGUGAAAGCCCUCGGCUCAACCGAGGAAGUGCUUCGAAAACUGGUAAACUUGAGUGCAGAAGAGGAAAGUGGAACUCCAUGUGUAGCGGUGGAAUGCGUAGAUAUAUGGAAGAACACCAGUGGCGAAGGCGGCUUUCUGGUCUGUAACUGACGC